GAUGAACGCUGGCGGCGUGCCUAAUACAUGCAAGUCGAGCGAACAGACGAGGAGCUUGCUCCUCUGACGUUAGCGGCGGACGGGUGAGUAACACGUGGAUAACCUACCUAUAAGACUGGGAUAACUUCGGGAAACCGGAGCUAAUACCGGAUAAUAUAUUGAACCGCAUGGUUCAAUGGUGAAAGACGGUUUUGCUGUCACUUAUAGAUGGAUCCGCGCCGCAUUAGCUAGUUGGUAAGGUAACGGCUUACCAAGACAACGAUGCGUAGCCGACCUGAGAGGGUGAUCGGCCACACUGGAACUGAGACACGGUCCAGACUCCUACGGGAGGCAGCAGUAGGGAAUCUUCCGCAAUGGGCGAAAGCCUGACGGAGCAACGCCGCGUGAGUGAUGAAGGUCUUCGGAUCGUAAAACUCUGUUAUUAGGGAAGAACAAAUGUGUAAGUAACUAUGCACGUCUUGACGGUACCUAAUCAGAAAGCCACGGCUAACUACGUG
rnacentral:rRNA from 1 species